rnacentral:rRNA from 1 species
CCCUUAGAUGUUCUGGGCUGCACGCGCGCUACACUGAAGCUAUCAACACGUUUUCCCUCCCUGAGAAGGGCGGGUAACCUUUUGAAUCAGCUUCGUGGUAGGGAUCGGGGCUUGCAAUUGUUCCCCGUGAACCAGGAAUUCCUAGUAGACGCGAGUCAUAAGCUCGCAUCGAUUAAGUCCCUGCCCUUUGUACACACCGCCCGUCGCUACUACCUAUUGAACGUUUUAGUGAGGCAUUUGGACCGACGCAUCUCAGUUUAACCGCUGGUUUGUGUUGGAAAGACUUCCAAACUUGAGCGUUUAGAGGAAGUAAAAGUCGUAACA